UCCCUGGCGGUCCAGUGGUUAGGACUCGGCACUUACACUGCCAUGGCCCGGGUUCGAUCCCUGGUUGGGGAA